rnacentral:misc_RNA from 1 species
AUGUGACGUCAUUAGGAUGUAAACAAUAUGGCUACUGCUAACUACAGCUGAAAUUUGACUUACAAAAGAUUUGAUGCUUUAAAAGGUGAUAGUGACCGUUCUAUGUCUUUCUCAAAGUUGAUAUUGUAUUAUUGAUUAUUUACACGGAUUCUGAGUACAAAUAUUUAGGUCAUAAAGGAAGAAAAUGGGUGGAAAUACAAGCCAAGUUGAAGCUGGUGGAACGGCGGACACACGGGAUCCUCAGAAAAUUAACUCCGACAACGAGAGGGUUGCCCGACUUGCCAGAGCCAUGACAGCGAGACCCAAUGACAAGAGGCCUAGAAAUGACCACCCGUUUUGGGAAGAUCAGGAGGACGAGGAUCAUGAUGGUUACAAGGAAAGUAUGUACAUCUUGAAACAGUUAUACAAAAGAAUGGAUCCAACAGUGAUGAAGACAUUGGGGGACGCUAAGGGCGAGGUAAAGUUGUCCAUGAAAUACGACUGGCAACGCAAGCUGCUUCUUGUUAAAGUUGUGUCUGCACGAGAUUUAAGUGCAAAGGACUUGAGAGGGAAGGCAUCUGAUCCUUACAUAAAGCUUGAUCUUGUGCCUGACAGCCACUCAGAAGGAGCAAAGUCUACAUCAGUGGUAACCAGGAGCCUAAGUCCCACCUACAAUGAAAUCUUAACAUUUAAGGUGCUGGAGGAGGACUUGGUUGACACCCAGUUGAGGGUGCAGGUGAUGAGUCAUGACCCCAUGGGUAAGGAUGAUUUCAUGGGGGAGAGGAUCAUACCGGUGGGCGAGAUGAAUCUCAGUAAAGUUUGCACUGAUUGGUACACAUUGCAAGCGGAGACGGAUUUAGAUAUUAAAGGAGAAUUAGAGAUAGGAUUGCAGUUCCUGCUACCAGACACCCUACAAGUUAGCAUCUUUGGGGCUAGCCAACUUGUUUGCCGUGACCCUGAUAAACUGCCGUGUCCCUACGUAAAGGUAAUAAUUCCUGGAGUGCCAAAGGUUGAACAAACAAAGAUUGUGAAGAACACAUUGGAUCCAGAAUGGAAUGAAGUAUUCAAUUUCCCAGUAGCAGAGGAAGAGCUUAGUAGCAGGUAUAUUGUGUUGCAUUUGCUGGACAAGGCAUUCGUGGGUGAAACCGAUGCACUCGGUCAGAUAUUUAUAGAUCUUAUGAACCUAGAUAUAAAUGUUGGUUACACUGGAAAAUUUGCUUUAGCUGACCUUAAAAAUUCCAAUAAAGUGAGGACCAAAUGGUCACAGACGGCAACAGUGCAGGAAUUCCGUGAGGCGAUGUAUGCCCAUGCGGUGAACCGCUAUCCAAAGCUGGUCUUUCAAAAGCACAAGGGAAAUAAAGUGGUGACAGUCUCAAGCAGGAAGGCUGGUUCAUCUGCAAAGAUCAGGAUCAUUGAUGGAAUGGCGAUCUAGAAACUAUGUACGAGGAUUAUUACAUUAAAAAAAUGACAGCAGCACUUUAAAGACUGAAGUUGGAACCUCAUUGCAUUGUAUGACCGUCUCACGAUGAAUUAAACUCGGCUGUCUGUGAGCGCUAAACAACGAAACGCCCUCUAUUGAUUGUUGGUGGCAGUCUGAAUGGAUUGCAUUAAAUACGAUCUGUUGCAUUCACAUUGUCGCGUUUUUCACAGAAUCACAUCGGCUGACGACUGUCGUGCGUAUUGUGUACUGGGCUUAUCUUGUAUAAAAUUUAUAUCAUUCGUGCACGCAGUGGACUUCACCAGGAGACUGUACAAAUGGGAUAAGAAACAUCUAUAAUACAGCAAUGAUAAUGAGGGGAGGUCCUACAACAACAAAGUAUGCAAAUCUGGUGAACAAAUCAUCUACUGCUCUGUAGAAAUAAGCAACCCUAAUAAACAAUAUUCAAAGUAAAUAAGAUGUAAAAACUGUAGAUAGCAUACAGUUAAACUUGUCUAAGUCGACUUUGCCCAACUCGAAUAAUUUCUAAGUCGAACUUAUUUUACAUGCCAGAUUGUUGUGUUUUCCAUUAAUUAACAAUCUGUAAGUCAAAUUUUAUCUAAGUCGAAUGUUAUCCAAGUCGAACAAUUUUUCAAUGGUAUUUUUUAUUCGACUUAGGCAGUUCAAAUGUAUAAGGAUAUGAAUGUUUUUUUUUAUUUUUU